AACUAAAUAGCUCAAAGAGAGCAUUACAUUGAAGCUGUAAAGGUGAUUUAUUAAUCUUUAGUUA
rnacentral:tRNA from 1 species